ensembl:snoRNA
CCCCAAAGCUGAAAAAUGACUUCUCUGUUUAUAACAUACCCAACAGGAAUUGGGGUCAUUGUGAUGAGGGACACAAAACUUGUGGCCUCCCUACAAACAAAUUCCUUAUAUGC